UGUAAACAUCCUCGACUGGAAGCUU
rnacentral:piRNA from 9 species